UACAGAGGUCUCGAGCGUUAGGCGGAAUCACUGGGCUUAAAGCGUGUGUAGGUGGAUCGGUAAGUACCUUGUGAAAUCCGACGGCUUAACCGUGGAACUGCUUGGUAUACUGCCAGUCUUGAGCCAGCUAGGGGCUACCGGAACAAAUGGUGGAGCGGUGAAAUGCGUAGAUAUCAUUUGGAACGCCAAUGGUGAAAACAGGUAGCUGGGGCUGUGCUGACACUGAGACACGAAAGCCAGGGGAGCAAACGGG
rnacentral:rRNA from 1 species